UAUGGUCAUAUCACGUUGAGACACAGGUUCCAAUACGAUCACCGAAGUUAAGCAAUGUCGAACCUGAUCAAUACCUAGAUGGGUGGACGUUUGGGAAUGUCAGGUACUGUAAG